CGAGGCGCGGCGUACAGCUCAGUAACACGUAGUUAACCUACCCUCGGGACGGAGACACCCCGGGAAACUGGGGCUAAUACCCGAUAGGUGAGGAGGCCUGGAAUGGUUUCUCACCGAAAGGAUGUUGAAACACGCUUUCAACCUUGCCCGAGGAUGGGGCUGCGUCCGAUCAGGUUGUUGGUGGGGUAACGGCUCACCAAGCCUAUAACCGGUACGGGCCGUGAGAGCGGGAGCCCGGAGAUGGAAUCUGAGACAAAAUUCUAGGCCCUACGGGGCGCAGCAGUCGCGAAAACUCCACAAUGCACGAAAGUGUGAUGGGGCUACCCCGAGUGCCGUCCGCUGAGGACGGCUUUUCUUCAGUGUAAUAAGCUGUAGGCAAUAAAGGGAGGGCAAGAAUGGUGUCAGCCGCCGCGGUAAAACCAACUCCCUGAGUGGUGGGGAUGAUUAUUGGGCUUAAAGCGUCCGUAGCUGGCCUGGUUAGUCCCGCGUUAAAUCCAGCGACCUAAUCGUUGGGAUGCGUGGGAUACGGUCAGGCUGGGGGGCGGG
rnacentral:rRNA from 1 species